AUCAAGACCAACAGUGGUUCUAUCAACACUGCCACCUACAGGUCUGUCAAGUACAUUGACAAUUUUCAUGGGGUUUUACAAACACCAAAACACUGACACCUAUAGGUCAACAGACAAACAACAUUUCACAUACCAAUCGUAUCCAACUACACUGCCACCUAUAGGGCACUCGGCAGAUCUCCAGUGCACUUGCAUUUUGCAACACCAUGUUCACUGACCCCUACCAUUCAAUAAGACAUACAACAAUUCACAUAGCAAGCACUAUGUCAACAUCUGGUAUAAAUACAUAUAUUAUUACACAGUAGCAGACGCAUCUGUAUAG